AAAUCCUGUUCUUGAAACUCAUCAUGUGCUGGGUGACUGCUCAGACUCUUCAGGACAAGAUCAUUCAGGGUGGAGAUUCCUCAAUCUUCCUUGCCCUAGGCCCCAACCCUGGAGACUCCAACUCUGGCUUUGCUGAGGAGAAAUGUGAACUCAAAGAGGGAACUUACUCUGUCAUUUUGUACGGUGACCUAGCAAUUUUCCCCUUCUAAGGACCAAACAGGUAACCCAAUGAGAAAAGAAGCAUCAGAAAACAACAGUGAAUCCAUGCUUCUUCAAGGGACCACACUCGAAGAAAAAAGGAGGAAAGGAGAGGAGAAGGAAGAAGCUAAGAGAGCUCUAGAGACUAUGUCUCUUUCUUCUAUUACAUUCUCCGGAGUGCUGCACAACAUAGGAACGAACACUGAAUGAAUCAACUUCCCAUAGACGCAUGGCUUGUUAUCAGCAAGCUCAUUGUGGGCAGGGAAUGUGUCUGUUUAUUGUUGUAUUGUACUCUCCCAAG